AACGAACGCUGCGGCGCGUCUUAAGCAUGCAAGUCGGACGGCAAGAAGGGGCUCGCCCCUUCCUAGAGUGGCGGACUGGUGAGUAACGCGUGGACGACGCGCCCACCCGACGGGGACAGCCGGUAGAAAUACCGGAUAAUACCGGAUGAUCUCUUUUGGAAUAAAGGCGAAAGAGGAAAGCGGCUCCGGCCGCGGGUGGAGCGGUCCGCGUCCUAUCAGCUAGUCGGCGGGGUGAAGGCCCGCCGAGGCGACGACGGGUAUCCGGCCUGAGAGGGUGGACGGACACAUUGGGACUGAGAUACGGCCCAGACUCCUACGGGAGGCAGCAGCUAAGAAUAUUCCGCAAUGGGGGGAACCCCGACGGAGCGACGCCGCGUGGACGACGAAGGCCGGAAGGUUGUAAAGUCCUUUUUUCCGCGAGGAAUAAGGCCGGGAGGGAAUGCCCGGCCGGUGACGGUAGCGGAGGAAUAAGCACGGCUA
rnacentral:rRNA from 1 species